rnacentral:rRNA from 1 species
GGAGCGGCCGAUGUCUGAUUAGCUAGUUGGUAAGGUAAUGGCUUACCAAGGCAACGAUCAGUAGUUGGUCUGAGAGGACGACCAGCCACACUGGGACUGAGACACGGCCCAGACUCUACGGGAGGCAGCAGUGGGGAAUUUUGGACAAUGGGCGCAAGCCUGAUCCAGCAAUGCCGCGUGAGUGAAGAAGGCCUUCGGGUUGUAAAGCUCUUUCAGUUGAGAAGAAAAGAUUGUGACUAAUAAUUGCAAUUCAUGACGGUAUCAACAGAAGAAGCACCGGCUAACUACGUGCCAGCAGCCGCGGUAAUACGUAGGGUGCGAGCGUUAAUCGGAAUUACUGGGCGUAAAGGGUGCGCAGGCGGUUCUUUAAGUCAGAUGUGAAAUCCCCGGGCUUAACCUGGGAAC